AGCGAACGCUGGCGGCAGGCCUAACACAUGCAAGUCGAACGAACUCUUCGGAGUUAGUGGCGGACGGGUGAGCAACACGUGGGAACGUGCCCUUUGGUACGGAAUAACUCAGGGAAACUUGAGCUAAUACCGUAUGUGCCCUUCGGGGGAAAGAUUUAUCGCCAUUGGAGCGGCCCGCGUCUGAUUAGCUAGUUGGUGAGGUAAAGGCUCACCAAGGCUACGAUCAGUAGCUGGUCUGAGAGGAUGAUCAGCCACAUUGGGACUGAGACACGGCCCAAACUCCUACGGGAGGCAGCAGUGGGGAAUCUUGCGCAAUGGGCGAAAGCCUGACGCAGCCAUGCCGCGUGAAUGAUGAAGGUCUUAGGAUUGUAAAAUUCUUUCACCGGGGACGAUAAUGACGGUACCCGGAGAAGAAGCCCCGGCUAACUUCGUG
rnacentral:rRNA from 1 species